UGUCAUCUAAGAUUGAUUGUGCAUCGCUUAUAUUUCACAUUGCAAUAGAAGGCUUGUCCCCGCACCAAGAAAAAAAGUUAAGUCAAAUAAUAAGUGAGCUACGGUGUUUACCUCUAAAUGAAAAGCUUGUCACAAUAGUGUUACAGGAGGCAAGUUUCUGGACUGUAUUCUGGAGAGGGGGAGCUACACAGAGAGAUGCCAGCCAUGUCCUACUGCAGGUUCUGGAAGCAGUCCAAUAACUCCACCAGCUGGGUAUCGUGCACAGAUUCCAAGAUUGUCAGUGACUUUGGCCUGUCCAAGUUGGAAGAGCAGUGUGCUCACCACUGCAUGUGGACCCCCUGCUUAUGUGGGUGAGGAUCCCCAAAUACCUACAUCCCAUAUGAACCCUCAUCAUGUAGAAUUAAAGCAGUUUGAACCUCACACAUAAACCCUCUCUUUAAUUUUGUGUGCAGCCCCAUAGCUUCUGCAGCAGAAAUCUUAUGACAAAGAGGUGGACCUAUGGGCUCUGGGGGUGAUCACCUACAGUUGAAGUCGGAAGUUUACAUACACUUAGGUUGGAGUCAUUAAAACAAAUUUUUCAACCACUCCACAAAUUUCUUGUUAAAAAACGAUAGUUUUGGCAAGUCGGUUAGGACAUCUACUUUGUACAUGACACAAGUUAUUUUUCCAACAAUUGUU
rnacentral:lncRNA from 8 species